rnacentral:tRNA from 1 species
GGGCGUUUGGCGCAGUUGGUUAUCGCGCUUCCUUCACACGGAAGAGGUCGUGGGUUCGAGUCCCGCAUCGCCCACCA